AUUCUAUAAAGAUAAUGAAUAGGUUUCUUCAAGAUGUUCAGAAUAAGUCUCCCCAACAUAUUAAGAACAAGUUGCCUUGAGGCAUGCUACUUUGGACAGUGGAUUAUUUUAAGAGUGAAAGAGAGAGAGUGAAAGCAAGAAGAAGAGAGAAAGAGAGAAAGAAAAAAAGAGACACUUGAUGCACUGUUACACUGCUCAUGAAUCUUUCUCCCUGCAGAUAGGGACCAGCGAUUUAAACCCAGGUCUUUGCACAUGGUAACAUGUAGUCUCUGUCAUGUAAGUCACCCCUCAUUCAACUUCUGUGUCUGUAUUACAUAUACAUAGAAAAAAGGUUUGCUGGUUGUUCAUAAUAGCUUUCUUUGGCAAGAGGGUGACAAUGGAAGGAAGUGGGGAAAAUGCCUAGCAUUGUACACAUUAUUAGAUUAUAUCAAUUACUACAUAUAUCUCCUUCAAAACUAAAAAAAAAAUCAUAAAAAUGUUAAAAUGAUGAAAUAAAACUGGACACAAGA